rnacentral:rRNA from 2 species
CGGCAAUGGAGGAAACUCUGACCGAGCAACGCCGCGUGAACGAUGAAGUAUUUCGGUACGUAAAGUUCUUUUAUUAGGGAAGAAUAAAUGAUGGAAAAAUCAUUCUGACGGUACCUAAUGAAUAAGCCCCGGCUAACUAUGUGCCAGCAGCCGCGGUAAUACAUAGGGGGCAAGCGUUAUCCGGAAUUAUUGGGCGUAAAGGGUGCGUAGGCGGUUAAAUAAGUUUAUGGUCUAAGUGCAAUGCUCAACAUUGUGAUGCUAUAAAAACUGUUUAGCUAGAGUAAGAUAGAGGCAAGUGGAAUUCCAUGUGUAGUGGUAAAAUGCGUAAAUAUAUGGAGGAACACCAGUAGCGAAGGCGGCUUGCUGGGUCUUUACUGACGCUGAGGCACGAAAGCGUGGGGAGCAAACAGGAUUAGAUACCCUGGUAGUCCACGCCGUAAACGAUGAGUACUAAACGUUGGGUAAAGCCAGUGUUGAAGUUAACACAUUAAGUACUCCGCCUGAGUAGUACGUACGCAAGUAUGAAACUUAAAGGAAUUGACGGGACUCCGCACAAGCGGUGGAUCAUGUCGUUUAAUUCGAAGGUACCCGAAAAACCUCACCAGGUCUUGACAUGCUUCUGCAAAGCUGUAGAAACACAGUGGAGGUUAUCAGUUGCACAGGUGGUGCAUGGUUGUCGUCAGCUCGUGUCGUGAGAUGUUGGGUUAAGUCCCGCAACGAGCGCAACCCUUAUUGUUAGUUACCAGCACGUAAUGGUGGGGACUUUAGCAAGACUGCCAGUGAUAAAUUGGAGGAAGGUGGGGACGACGUCAAAUCAUCAUGCCCCUUAUGACCUGGGCUACAAACGUGGUACAAUGGCUGUUACAAAGAGUAGCUGAA